rnacentral:rRNA from 1 species
GACGAACGCUGGCGGCGUGCUUAACACAUGCAAGUCGAACGGAAAGGCCCUGCUUUUGUGGGGUGCUCGAGUGGCGAACGGGUGAGUAACACGUGAGUCACCUGCCCUUGACUUUGGGAUAACUUCAGGAAACUGGGGCUAAUACCGGAUAGGAGCUCCUGCUGCAUGGUGGGGGUUGGAAAGUUUCGGCGGGUGGGGAUGGACUCGCGGCUUAUCAGCUUGUUGGUGGGGUAGUGGCUUACCAAGGCUUUGACGGGUAGCCGGCCUGAGAGGGUGACCGGCCACAUUGGGACUAAGGUACGGCCCAGACUCCUACGGUGGGCAGCAGUGGGGAAUAUGGCACAAUGGGCGGAAGCCUGAUGCAGCAGCGCCGCGUGCGGGAUGACGGCCUUCGGGUUGUAAACCGCUUUCGCCUGUGACGAAGCGUGAGUGACGGUAAUGGGUAAAGAAGCACCGGCUAACUACGUG